rnacentral:rRNA from 1 species
AGUGAACGCUGGCGGUAGGCCUAACACAUGCAAGUCGAACGGCAGCACAGUAAGAGCUUGCUCUUACGGGUGGCGAGUGGCGGACGGGUGAGGAAUACAUCGGAAUCUACUUUUUCGCGGGGGAUAACGUAGGGAAACUUACGCUAAUACCGCAUACGACCUACGGGUGAAAGCAGGGGAUCUUCGGACCUUGCGCGAAUGAAUGAGCCGAUGUCGGAUUAGCUAGUUGGCGGGGUAAAGGCCCACCAAGGCGACGAUCCGUAGCUGGUCUGAGAGGAUGAUCAGCCACACUGGAACUGAGACACGGUCCAGACUCCUACGGGAGGCAGCAGUGGGGAAUAUUGGACAAUGGGCGCAAGCCUGAUCCAGCCAUACCGCGUGGGUGAAGAAGGCCUUCGGGUUGUAAAGCCCUUUUGUUGGGAAAGAAAAGCAGCAGGUUAAUACCCCGCUGUUCUGACGGUACCCAAAGAAUAAGCACCGGCUAACUUCGUG